rnacentral:tRNA from 1 species
GUUUCCCAGUGGUUGGGCAUCUGCUUUACAUGCAAAAGGUCCCAGGUUCAAUUCCUUGGAUCCCU